rnacentral:rRNA from 1 species
GAUUCGGGGUGCACCAGGCGCGAAAACUUUACAAUGCAGGAAACUGUGAUAAGGGAACCCAAAGUGCUUAGCUUUGCUAGGCUUUUGCCAAAUGUAAAUAAUUUGGCGAAUAAGCGAUGGGCAAGACUGGUGCCAGCCGCCGCGGUAACACCAGCGUCGCAAGUGGGGAUCAUAUUUAUUUGGCCUAAAGCGUCCGUAGCUGGUUAAGUAAAUCUUUUGUGAAAUUGUUCAGCUUAACUGAACAGCGUGCAGGAGAGACUGCUUAGCUAGGGACCGGGGGGAGUCAGAGAUAUGCCUUGGGGAGCGGUAAAAUGCUAUAAUCCAAGGUAGAUCACCUGUGGCGAAGGCGUCUGACUAAAACGGGUCCGACAGUGAGGGACGAAAGCCAGGGGAGCAAACCGGAUUAGAUACCCGAGUAGUCCUGGCCGUAAACGCUGUGAGUUAGGUGUCGCGUAAUCUCCGUGAUUACGCGGUGUCGAAGCGAAGGUAUUAAACUCACCGCCUGGGAAGUAUGGUCGCAAGACUGAAACUUAAAGGAAUUGGCGGGGGAGCACAAUCACUAGUGAAU